UUAAGUUUCCAACAUUCUUUAGAAAUUUAUUCUAUUUGCCACCGAAACGAUAAUCAGCAAAGAUAUUGAAUAGUGUUAAAAAAAAUGAUAACCGGCAUACACAGUGUUGCUGUAGUACUGGUUUUGUCCUUGUUUAUUGGCCAGCAGCACGUCCAAGGCGUAACUUUUGGAUAUGUCACUGUGACCUCAGACUGCUACAACCAAGCGGACAGCUGUUUAAGGGACCCUGAUGCAUCCCAAGCAUUAGCUUAUUACAAUGGGGAGCAGUAUUGUGCAGCCUUAACUUACAGCACGGCCAAGUUUGACUCUAAGACUUGUUUGCUAGACCAGACUAGUGGCUACAUUUGCACAGAGAAUGAAUACAACUAUGUGAAAGGUCGAGUCUGUGGGGCAUGCUCUCUGAUAGCAGGAACAACAACUCUCCUAGUAACUUUUUUUGCGUAUGCUUUGAACAAGUAGAUGCCCUUUACUAUAUACAUACGUUAUUGUCAUUAAAUGCGUGUUUGUUAUAUGCUCAAACAUUAUGAUAUUGUUUUAUGUCACGCUAUGGCGUCUCUAUAGGAAAUGUACAGAAGCAUGUAUAUUCAAUAAUUAUAUACUUAUUUUUAGGCUACUUCAUUGCUUUUUUUUUUGUUUGACAGUCUGUUCGUGGUAUUUGUUUGUUGUUUUGUUUAUAUCUUUGUAUAUUAAAAUUUUACUCAUACAACCUUCUAUUAUUAGGCUUUUUUCUUUCAAAUAAAAUUAUAAAUUAUUUUUUUGUUAAAGAAUAGAUUGGCUUUGUCAUUUUGGUAUAUGUAUUCCGCACCGAAAAAUGGGAAACAUGUUUCACUCAAUCAAAUAAAAAUAUAUAACUAUA
rnacentral:sRNA from 1 species